GGCCGCAUGGCCCAAUGGCAAGGCGCUUGACUACGAUUCCAAAUCCGAGAUCAAGAGAUUGCAGGUUCGAUCCCUGCUGUGGUCA